rnacentral:rRNA from 1 species
CCUACGGGGGGCAGCAGUGAGGAAUAUUGGUCAAUGGGCUUACGCCUGAACCAGCCAAGUCGCGUGAGGGAAGACUGCCCUAUGGAUUGUAAACCUCUUUUGUCAGGGAGCAACGCCGGCUACGUGUAGCCGGACUGAGAGUACCUGAAGAAAAAGCAUCGGCUAACUCCGUGCCAGCAGCCGCGGUAAUACGGAGGAUGCGAGCGUUAUCCGGAUUUAUUGGGUUUAAAGGGUGCGUAGGCGGAAUGACAAGUCAGCGGUAAAAUCGCGGGGCUCAACCCCGGGGCGCCGUUGAAACUGGGGGUUUUGAGUGGGAGAGAAGUAUGAGGGAUGCGUGGUGUAGCGGUGAAAGGCAUAGAUAUCAAGCAGAAAUCCGAUUGCGAAGGGAGCAUACCGGCGCCCAACUGACGCUGAAGCACGAAAGCGUGGGUAUCGAACAGGAUUAGAUACCCGGGUAGUC